rnacentral:rRNA from 1 species
UACGUAGGGAGCAAGCGUUGUCCGGAUUUACUGGGUGUAAAGGGUGCGCAGGCGGGUUGGUAAGUCAGGGGUGAAAUCUCACGGCUUAACCGUGAAAUUGCCUUUGAUACUGCUAACCUUGAGUUCGGGAGAGGUCGAUGGAAUUCCAGGUGUAGCGGUGAAAUGCGUAGAUAUCUGGAAGAACACCAGUAGCGAAGGCGGUCGACUGGCCCGUAACUGACGCUCAGGCACGAAAGCGUGGGGAGCGAACAGGAUUAGAUACCCUGGUAGUCCACGCCCUAAACGAUGUAUGCUUGGUGUUGGCUCGUAUGAGUCAGUGCCGUAGGUAACCUGAUAAGCAUACCACCUGGGGAGUACGCUCGCAAGGGUGAA